GACGAACGCUGGCGGCGUGCUUAACACAUGCAAGUCGAACGAAGUGGCGAACGGGUGAGUAACGCGUAAUCAACCUGCCCUUCAGAGGGGGACAACAGUUGGAAACGACUGCUAAUACCGCAUACUGAAGGAGGGGAUUGCGUCUGAUUAGCUAGUUGGCGGGGUAACGGCCCACCACGGCGAUGAUCAGUAGCCGGGCUGAGAGGAGGAAUGGGCAAAAUGGGACUGGGACACGGGCCAGACUCCUAAGGGAGGGAGCAGUGGGGAAUCAUCCGAAAUGGACGAAAGUCUGACGGAGCAACGGCGGGGGAGAGAUGACGGCCUUCGGGUUGUAAAGCUCUGUUAAUCGGGACGCGGUACCGGAAUAGAAAGCCACGGCUAACUACGUGCCAGCCGCCGCGGUAAUUC
rnacentral:rRNA from 1 species